UACGUAGGUGGCAAGCGUUAUCCGGAAUUAUUGGGCGUAAAGAGCGCGCAGGUGGUUAAUUAAGUCUGAUGUGAAAGCCCACGGCUCAACCGUGGAGGGUCAUUGGAAACUGGUUAACUUGAGUGCAGAAGAGGGUAGUGGAAUUCCAUGUGUAGCGGUGAAAUGCGUAGAGAUAUGGAGGAACACCAGUGGCGAAGGCGGCUACCUGGUCUGUAACUGACACUGAGGCGCGAAAGCGUGGGGAGCAAACAGG
rnacentral:rRNA from 1 species